rnacentral:rRNA from 1 species
CGAUCCCAGGUCAGGCGGGGCUA